GGAUUUUCUUUGUCUUUCUUCCUUGUUGGAUCUGACAAUAUUCCUUAUAUAUGAUAUUUUACUUAACCGAUGAUGACAUUCAAGCACUUGGUCCAAGUAUUAGCAAUUUAAAUCCUUGCUAAGAACUGAAAAACUUACACAAAAUAGUGGGUGGGACAACUUGUUAUUUGAGUCUUCAGAAAAAAAAAAUAUAGCCUUCCUAAGCCUCCUUCCUAUAUUAAAGAGAUGUUGUAUCUUACUAAUUCAUUAAUGUAAAGAUGGAAUGAACUUAAAAUCAAAAUUCACUUUUAUUUGUAUGUCUUUGAAGAUUUCAAAGAUAAUGUGUCAGUCUUUGAUGGAAAACUGUAAAAGUACAGCGAGCUCGAAAAAGACUUUUGAAAAAUGCAGAUAUUCCAUAAGAUCAAUGAAGCUUCAAAGAUCGGAUAUUGUUACAAAAGCUGAAGAAAUUUACAAUUUAGUAGAGGAUAGGAAAAGUACAAACAUUCAUCUCAUAUUGCUCCGAUAAUAUAGCAGAUGGAAAAAGGAUUGUUUAUUUCAUAAAUGAGACAAUUUGUUGAAUGUUAAUUGAAAUUUCUACACUGUAGGAUGACAACAGUGACACGUCUGUUAAGUCAGCAAAUUAAAAUUUUUGCUAGGAUGAUGACAAGUGACAUUUGUAAGUGAAUAGGAAAUCGUCCAAAGGAUUAAGAAACUCAUGAUAGGCUUCAUUUGUUUCACAAGACCUUCUACUUAUGACAUGGUAAGUUAUGCAUCAAUCCAAAAUCCAAAUUUAUAAAGAAAAGUGGAAGCUGAGUUCUCAUGAGAUCAAAGACAUCCUUUAAGUUUCCUCAGUUGUCAUCUUGGUUUCAAUCUAUUCAGAAUUAUAAUUGUGCUCCAUCAUAUCUGUACUUGAUGCAUGUCAUUGACAUGUUAAUAUAUGUCUUCUCCUCUGAGUCUAAGUCACCAAUGUUUUUUCUCAUUAGGUGAGAGAAUGCCAUAAUGAAGCCAGUUUUAAUUUCUGAAGCUGGUCAAGCAUUGGCGAAUUCUCUCAAAUUAUCAUUUGCUUUCAACAUCUCAUCGAAGUUCUUUUACUUGGUAUAAUUGAUAUCUAGAUGAAAGAAAUUUGCUAUUUAGAAGGUCAAUGUGAAAAUAUUGAUUUUUUGAGAAAGGACUGAAUUGCGUUAUUGGGUUUUUGGUCACUACUAUUGCAAGGUUUAGACUGAGACUGUUUCUUAAAGAUAAUAAUAGAGAAGAGGAAACUUGAGGAAAAAGAGGGUGUGGAGGAAGGAUGACCAUCUGAAAAACCUCCCUGAUGAAACAAUGGUGGAGAUCAAUGUAGCAGCCCAACUUUAAGGUUCAUCCAAGUUUUAGAAAACUUUGUUUUAGUACUCUGUAGAUGCAUAUGUCUCUCAUAUUUGGGGACCAAUUGACUUAGUUUGAUGUUGUUUAGCAACUUCGUUUUUUGUAUCAUACAGAAGUUAUUAGGGAGAAAUUUCUGCGUAAGAUAAUCAAAUCUACUCAAUUGCAAAGCUGACACUCUCUUUCAGCCUUCACUAGAACUUUUGAAUUUGUUUUGAUAAAUGUCCUUUUAAAAAAAAAAUUAUUUUCACAAUUGUUAGACACAUUUAACUCGUCAUAAGCACGUGCACGAAAAGGAGUGAAAGUCACAGCACCUAAUCCAAGACCAUCAUUGUUGGGCAUCGCAGCCACCACCAUACUCGGUUGUCAGGUAUAUGCUGGUUCUCAAAGUUAUACUUUCAAGUAUUAUGGCAUUUCUUUCUUCUUGCUUCUCUGUUAGGGUUGUUAACAUUCUUUUUGAAUUUGAAUGACACUUUCUCCUCGCUCCUUUGUAGGGAUAUUAACGUUCAUUUUGAAUUUGGAUAACAGAGCAGUCUAAGAUGGGGAUAAUAAGAAGCAGUUUCUCUUUUUUGCUAGGAACUGGCUGUGGUAUUUACAGCGCCCAGAGCUACAACGUCCCAAACACAAAGAAACUCUCUCAUGCUUAACCACAGUUACUGGUACAGUUCUUUAUUUGCUCUUUUCCUUAUUGAAGCUUUUGAAACAUAUGUCGUGUGUGGAAACCUUUGAUGCAACUCUUUUUAUUUUUAGUUUUCAUUCUUGCACGGAUUCAUGUAAAUCUUUUAUCGGGUGUCUCUUAAGAAACAUCGAUUUUGAAGACAAUCAACAUUGACAAAUCAUCUAAAUAAAAUUGAUGAGAUUUCUAAUUCUCAACCUUUAAGUAGAUUUGAUACACCACUAUCCAAUCAAUAUUUUAGGUAUAAAGAUAUAUUGGAUUAAGUAUGCCAUCAUCAGAUCAAAAAUAUAUUUGGAUGAGGAUGUUUUAGACAAAAGGUUUGAUAUAUCACCAUUAGAUCAUUAUUUAAAGUGUAAAGAUGAAAUUUUAAACCUCAAUUGAUAAGUGAAUCUGAUACAUCAUUGUAAGAUCUUAGGCUCGGAUCUCAUAUUUUUCAAGUAAUUUUUGUUUUAGCUAAUAUCUGAAACAAGUGAGUGGCUGAGAGCUUAUUAUACAACUAACCAUGUUGGUCGAGCCAAAUCAAAAUUUAGCUCAUAACUGUGCAUGCAUUUGCAAGGCGUAAGGAGGCAAUAGAAAUAUACUCUUCAACACUAUGAACGGCAUCAUUGGGCACGGAUGCCACUGGCAGGUGCAAGAAAAAUAUCUAUGAUUAAAAUGUACUAAGGUCGAUAACACAGCCCGAACACAGUCAUAUCACAAAUGAGACCGAUGCAGAUAAGAUAGAACUUAGAAACAAGAAAAUAAAAACCGUAUGGAUUUAUGGAUAAGUCUGAUGGAGUCGAGCAAUUGUGGAUCACUUCCACUUCCUGAACUUGCCACCAAAUCUACCGUGUUUCCCACCGAACAUCCCAUGCUUGAACUUGCCAUGGUGGCCAAAGUGGGGCAUUCCAUGUCCCGUAUGAUGAUGGCCGUGCGUCGAUUGGUAAGCACCGUAAGCUGCUGCAGCAGCAGCAGCUCCACCCGCCAGCAACGCUCCCAUUUUAGAUCCAUGUCCUGUGUCCACAAUUUAUUAUCGAGUUUAGGGAACAUGCAUAUUUUGGUCAUCCAAGCAAUUGGUCUUCUCGUAAUACAGCACUAAUCAUUUUAGCAUGGUCUGUCUAAAGCAGUUUAAGCAUAUUGCCUGAAACUAAAGAUGUGGUACUUACCAUGAUGUGACGGAGCCGAUGGACCAGGGUAAGCGGUAGGUAGAUAUCCCGAAGGUGGAUAACCAUGAGGUGGAUAUCCCUGAUGAGGAUAGCCAUGCGGAGGAUAUGUGCUGGACGUGGGAGGAUAUCCAUGUGGUGCAUAUGCCCCAGGUGGUGGGUAUGUGCCGGGUGCGGGAGGAUAUCCGUGUGGAGCGUAUGCCCCAGGAGGUGGGUAUGCCCCGGGUGGUGGAGGAUAUCCCCCAUGGUUUCCAUGUCCUCCAAUAAGUCCAUGCGCUAAGUUCGAAAACAAUCCUUUAUCAGAUUCGUCAUGCUUAUCCUUUCCCCCUUCCAUUUUCUCUUUGAUGAAGAUUGCUGAAAGAAAAAUAUGACAAUGGUUAAUGCUGAUUCCACAUUAUUGCUCUAUCUACCUUGGGAUCACAAACAAUACAGAUAUGCACAAGGGAAUCCACUGAUUUGGAGUUCUGAUGCUACCACAGGGAGUACAUUGUUUCAUGACUACUCUAUUUCAUUUGAUAGAAAACGUUUGACAAAAUCUUUGAUUUCAAAGACAUAGAUGAUUAACCGUACAAGAAGGAAAAAAGAAUUAUCUUGAUCAACAUCCUUGAGUGCCAGCAGUAUGAAAACAUGUACAUUUAGCUCUAGCAAACCUUCUUCUAUCCAGAUGUUUUUAGAACCUGUUAUGGAACAGAAAUAAUAGUUCGAUGAUGGCAAACUAUUUACUCCAUCCCACAUGCAAUCUUAAACCUUUCAGAAGGUCAUAUGCUGCCUCCGCUAGUCAUAAAAUUUCUUUCUUCUACAUCUAAGCAAAUUCUUUUUUGUGUGUGGAUCAAAUAGAACGAUGUCUAUCAUGUAAAAUAGCAUGCUGUAAGAUCUGAGAAAUGAACCACAAUCCUCUUCCAGAUCUCUUUUAUCAAACAGAUAAUGCAAUCAAGAAAAAAAGAGUCAAACAGACACAUGAGCCAAUGGAAAAUCCUAUAUUGAACUGGUUGCUUAUAACGUAGCCUAAGAAAACUCCUUUUGCCAGUUUGAUAAUCCAAGAAGGCAAAUGACAGUAUGAUGCAUAAGAACACAAUUUAAGUUCUUGAACCCUAUUGCCCCAACCAAUCAUUUCCAAUGAAAAUACAGAAAAUUAAAGAAAAGAAUAACCUGAAAUCAAGUGGUGUCAAAAAGAUACCCCAAGUUGAGACCGGGACUAAGAUCUUUUGAGAAAAGAAGAUCUUGGGGUUUGGAAAAUCAAAAGAGAUCUUGGUGCUUUUUAUAAAGAAUUCUCAGGUUAAGUUAAAAUUUCAGGUCUUCAAUGACCCGACUAAAAUGGCAUGUCGAAAAUCAGAUGAAGGAAAGGGGAAAAAAGGAAAAAGAAGAAAAAACGAAAAAAGAGUUAGGAAAGUAAAUGAAAAAUGUUAAUAUUUUUGGUUACUCAAUCCUAAGCUUUCUUUGACAAAUCAAGCCAAAAUCGUUCCCAAACAGAGAAGCAAUUUGCUAUAAGUGAAAAAAAGUGAAAGGAACGAAAAAAAAAAAGGGAAAAAAGGUGAUGAAAUAAACCCUUACAUGUUGAACCAAGCAGAAAAGAUGGCUUUGAAAACCUCAAGAAAAAUCCAAUAUCUUGUUCUUCGACAGGAUAAAUGUGCGAGAGUAAUGGCACAUAGAAGAAAUAGAAAAGAGAGGUGCAAUAUGUGAAGUGACAGCCAUCGUCGUCGCAUCGCAUCUGCCUUUGGUAUUAUAGCCUCUGCUGUGUUGAUUUCCAGUCGAGCUAUUCUCUUUCCAAAGCCACUGGUCUUUGUUGUGGCGUCACAGUGCUAUGACAAUUCAUGGUCAUGCACUGUGUCUGGGGCUGUAACACUAAGGUAAGAGGAAGCUAAAUGUUAGGAGGACUACUGCCUAUUUGGUAUAAUAAGAGGAACCUCACACCUGAAACAAAGAUUCAUCUAUUCAAUCAUUCUUGUUCUGUAGGAAAUUAGGAACUCCCACUUACACUACAUCGUGAUCCAUAUUUUGUACAAACUUAAGCUUUAACAACUUCAAUAAUUUAUAAAUAAGAAAGAUAUGAAAGACUAAAAUACAAGAAGCAUUAAAUCACAGUUCACCUGUGUCUACAGAGCCAUCAUACAUGUGAAUCAUUUAGUGACCUAAUUUAUUAGGAUUUCAAAUAUUGCUAGAUUCUUAAUUGCUCAAACUUUUUAACUCGUUACUGCAAAGAUGGAAUGAACUUAAAAUCAGAACUUACUUUUAUUUGUAUGUCUUUGAAAAUGAUUCAAAUGAUAAUACAUCAACUCUUGAUGGCAAAAUGUGAAAGUACAAUACGGGUGCUGGAAAUAUACUUCUGAAAAAUGAAGAUCUUCAAUAAGAUCAAUGAAGCCUGGAAGAGAUCCAGGCUACAUUUACAAAAACUGAAAAUUUUCAAAAUUAAAGAUUUUAGUACAGUAUAGGAAAAGUGCCAACAUUCAUCUCAUAUCGGUUUUAAUGUAUUCAGAAUUAUAAUUGUGCUCCACCAUUUCUGUAUUCGAUGUGUGCCAUUGAUGUGUUAAUAUAUGUCUUGUCCUCUGGGUCUAGGUGACCACUUGCAAAAUUAUUUAUGUUUUUUUAUUAUUAGGUGAGAGAAUUCCAUAAUGAAGCCAGUUUUAACUUCUGAAGCUCGUCAAGUGUUGGGGAAUUUUCAGAGAUGAACAUUUGCUCUCAACAUCUCAUUAUAGUUCUUUUACUUUGUGUAAUUGCUAUCUUGAUGAAAGAAAUUUUCUAUUUAGAAGGUAAAAAAUAUUGAUCUUCUGAGAAAGGACUGAAUUGUGUUAUUGGGAUUUUGGUCACUGCCGUUGCAAGGUUUAGACCGAGACUAUGUUUCUUAAAGAUAUUAAUGAAGAAGAGGAAACUAGAAGAAAAAGAGGGUGUGGAGGAAGGAUGACGUCCCUGAUAAAACAAUGGUGGAGCUCAAUGUAGCAGCCCAACUUUAAGGUUCAUCCAAGUUUUAGAAAACUUUGUUUUGGUAAUCAGUAGAUGCAUAGGUCUGUCAUAUUUGGGGACCAAUUGACUUAUUUUGAUGUUGUUUAGCAACUUUGUUUUUAUUAUCAUAGAGAAGUUAUUAGGGAGAAAUUCCUGUGUCAGAUAGUCAAAAUCUGCAUGAUUGCAAGCUGACGCUAUCUUUCAUCCUGCACUGAAACUUAACUUGUUUCUGAUAAAUGCCUUUCUUUAAUAAAUUUCACAAUUGUCUUAGGCAC
rnacentral:lncRNA from 1 species